CUGCAGGGUGGAGUUGGGGACUGGGUUCGCUGUCAGUCCUGCGUCCUAAAUCAAGGUGCGGAGAGUAAUUGGCCUCAAGGAAAGAGCCGGAAAGUCUAGCUGCUGGAGAAGGCAGGGACCUGGGAGGUGGCCAAACAGGCUUGAGGGCUUGCCACGAGCAACUGCCUGCCAGCCACAAUGCGAGAACUCGUGAGGAGUGGUCCAGUCCCCCGGUCACCUGCAUCCCUGCAACUCCUGUCCCUCUUUGCGCCUCCCGCCUUCACGCUCUCCAGUGGUCUGGGGAGGCCCGCGCGGGGCUGAGCGUGCGUGUGUUGCUGCGCGCUCCCGCAUGUGUGCGCGCCUGUGUGCCUGUGUGUGUGCGUGAGUGUGCAGCCCGCGCGCAGAGCCUGGCCACCGGGACCUAGCUGCCCGCCACCCGCCGCCUGACUGGUGUCCCUCGUCCUUGCAGCCACCUCCUCGCAAGCCUCCUCGCCUAGCGCGGGUAAUCCGGCGCCUGCCGCCUGCCCAGCCCCGCUCGGCCGCAGCAGCCUAAGCUCAAAGUUUCCUCAGCGCAGACACCUUGGCAAAGGGCUACCCAGGGAUACGGGCUUCUGAAGCUGUGCCUUGGACUGGCUCUUCUUACAGCACCGCUCCGCCUUGUCCCCACCUGAUCCGAGUAGAGAGUAGAUGUUCCAAAUUAAAGGGAGAAAGGGGUGUGUGUGCGUGCGUGCGUGUGUGUGUGUGUGUGUGUGUGUGUGUGUGUGUGGUGGGGGGUAUUAUUAAAAGAGACCGGGGCGGUCACAACUGAGAACAUCCACUUCUCUUCUGACUGAUGCCCUGGAAUUGACUGAUGACAGGCCUGUGGGGUUAAAGAAAAUAAAAUAGAAAGCCAAGUUGACCGAGGAGGGGCUGGCUGCCAGGAGGUUGUUCUGUCUCCGUUACUACGGGAGUGAAGAUUUGUAGGCGCUGCCAGUGCAAGAGCUUCGAACCGCCAUCCCCUCCUGAUCCCCUGGGAAGGUAAAGCCGGCAGAGCUCAGGGAGAGUGAGUCAAGAAAAAGCCUCUGGACUUGUGUGCGUCGCAGCCUUGGCUUGGGAUUUUAAGGAUAGGAAAGAAAAUUAACAGCAUCUCAAGGUAAGAAGCAGCAAGACAGCUGCCUGAAUUGUCAGGAAGAGGGAAUAACUUAAAUACAUGUUGGGGAGGGGAUGGAGGGAGCGGUUAGGCCAAGUUAGGAUAUCUCUGGGCGUCACCAAGCCAAGGUCUGGGGGCGGGCAAAUACAGGAGUAGCCUGUGCGGCCAGUGUCCAUUUGGGGGGCAGCAGGAACGAGGAAGUGUCCUGAUCGUACACUUUUGGAAGCUACUGGAAAGAGGGAAUCCUUUGGAGAUGUUUUCAAGAUGUAGAAUGCUUAUAUAUGAAGUAUCCCAAAUGAAGUUGGAGUAUCUGCAUUGAAAUUACUUCAUGUUGUGGAAUUGAAGAGUGCACUGGAAAGCUGGGUCAUGAGCUGCUGGGGCCUCUAAAGUGUCCAGUGGAUUUUUAAUCACAAG